GUAGAUUCAUCCCAACACACCUGUCUACCCCUAAGGCUGCCAGACUUCAAGUGCCCACGCUGCGCCCUGUCCCGCGCCCCCUCAAUCAACUGGCGCUUCCACUCCGCCCAGAGGAAGAAUGAGCCCUGAGACACCCUGGGUAUUCCUGCCGGACUCCUCACACCGCCACAUCCUGGCUUUGCGAGCGUUUGUGGACGGGCGCCCUCUCUGUCCAGCCCUAGAAAUAACCAGUUGUCCCACAGCCUCGGCUACUUACAGAUUAGGAUCUACCAUUGGAUCAUGAGAUUUGGAGCCUAAGAAACAGGGCCUUCUUCCUCAAAACAACAUUACAUCAUGACUGCCGAUUCUCAUCGCCACAGGAAAACAAAAACAGCAAAUAAUUCAGGAGUUCAUAACCCAUCAGCACAACAGACUUUGGAAUCAUGAAUGCCACGCAUCUUAAUUUCUCAUUUCAUCUUGGAACAUGAACUUAUCAUGGAACAAAGCAUAUGGUGAGGAGGCAUAUUACAAUAAUUUGCUAUAUAAUAUCAACAUCUAAUCUUUUCUCGUUUUACUGCAUUUUUCCUUCUCUAAACUCAUAUUUUCUCUGAAGAAGUGCAUGACACUCUCAUCUACACUUAUCCCUUAAUCCCAGAAACCUUUUUUUUUUUUUUUUAAUUUUUUUGCUUUUCAGGGCCACCUCCAUGGCAUAU